UCACCUGUUUAUCAAAAACAUGUCUUAUUGAAAAUUAAUUUUAAGUCAAAUCUGCUCAAUGAUUAAUUUAAAUAGCUGCAGUAUAUAUAACUGUACAAAGGUAGCAUAAUAAUUAGUUUUUUAAUUGAAAACUAGAAUGAAUGAUUUAAUGAAAUAUAAACUUUAUUAAAUUUAAUUAAUAAAUUUAUUAUUUAAAUAAAAAAAUUUAAAUAAAAUUUAAAGACAAGAAGACCCUAAAGAAUUUUUAUAAAUAUAAAUUUUUAUAAAAAUUAAAUUUAUUUUAAUUGGGGUAAUUUUAAAAUUUAAUUAAUUUUUUUUAUAAAAACAUUUAUUUUUGAAUAAAAAAUAUUUUUUAAAAAAAAAUAAAUUACCUUAGGGAUAACAGCACAAUUUUAUUUUAAAGUUCAAAUUUAAAAUAAAGUUUUUGACCUCG
rnacentral:rRNA from 1 species